UACAGAGGUCCCGAGCGUUGUUCGGAUUCAUUGGGCGUAAAGGGUGCGUAGGCGGCGGGGCAAGUCUGAUGUGAAAUCCCGGGGCUCAACCCCGGAACUGCAUUGGAUACUGCCUUGCUUGAGUACUGGAGAGGGAACUGGAAUUUACGGUGUAGCAGUGAAAUGCGUAGAGAUCGUAAGGAAGGCCAGUGACGAAGGCGAGUUCCUGGACAGUUACUGACGCUGAGGCACGAAGGCCAGGGGAGCAAACGGG
rnacentral:rRNA from 1 species